CUCAUCAGAAUGACAAAGAUUUAAAAGAAUAUUAUUACUUGUAGAAAUGAUUUGCAUUCAUGGUGCACAGUGACAUCAUCCGAGGCAGGCCUGGCCGAAACUGGCCCCUGCCUGGAAGGCUCAGACUUGCCUUUUGUCGGUGCCAAGGGAUGAGCUGGCCCUGAGAGGCUGAGUCAAGGUAAUUAAUUAAUGAAUUAAUUAAAUUGCACUUCAGAGGUAGAGCAUCUAAUUAAUUAGAUCGUGGCAUGAUAUCCUAACUGAUCUUUCAGGACUCCUCUCUUACUUUAUUUUAAGUUUUAUUAAUUUUUUUUCUUCUCAUUCCUUAUCCCAUCCCCAUGCCCUCUCCCCAUAUGCAACUAGUCUGAUGAGUUUAGUACACACGUUUGGACGUGCCUGUGCGAUCCUCUGGUGGACCUACGCGAGCUUUCUCAGGAGCAUACCCACCAAAGGGUGUUUUCCAACUUGCAGCCAAAUGCAUUCCUGAUAUCAUGAAGACUGCCAGAUGGUGUCUCAGAAUGGCCAUCCUAGUUCACACCUCUACCAGCAUGUGAGAACAUUAUCUGACCUCCCACUUACUCCUACUCUGAUGAGUGUAAGGUUAAUAGAUCUCAGCCAUGGACUCAUAUCAAAGCCAAAUGGAAAGAUCUUUCAAGCUUCAGUUACCCAGGCCCCACCACCAAAGACAAUGCCCCAAUUGCCUGUGGUAGCACCAGGCAUGUGUACUUUUUAAAUGGGUUGACUACAAGGAGAAAUUGGUCUGCUCGUCCACAUGGAGGUAAGGAGGAGUAUGUCUGGAAUACAGGAGAUCCCUUAGGGCAUUUCUUAGUACUACCACACCCUGAGAUUAAGAUGAGUGGAAAACUAUAACAAUCCAAUCCAGGCAGGACUCCUAAUGGCCCAGAGCCUGCAGGAAUGAAAGUUUGGAUCACCCCACCAGGUAAAGAGCUAUGACCAGCUGAGCUGCUACUGAAGGCAAAGGGAAUACAGAACGGAUAAUGGAAGAAAGUAGUUAUAAAUACCAGUCAUCACCAGUUGUGUGACCAGUUACAGAAAUGAGGGCUGUAAUUAUCAUGAGUAUUUCCUCCUCAUUUUGUUAUGAAUAUAUUUGUGUGUGUGUGCAGGUGUGUGCGUUUAUGCAAAUAUCUUUGUUUUCUUCCUCUCUUAUCCCCUUAUCAUGUAACAUAGGAUGUUUCGACUUUAUAUCAUAGUAUUUAAGUAUUGUUAAUUUUACAUUAUAGUGUUUAAGUUACAGGAUAUCAAGAAGCAUAAACAUCAAUCAAGGACUUUGCAUCCUCUUCUGGGGAAGAGGUGAGUGUGUUUUUGGUUGUAGGCAGGAUAGUUGUCUCGUGUUAGGUGGAGGUAUAACCUUGUUAUUGUCUUCAUUUGGAGAUUAAGUAUGGUUUCAGGAGAUGUACAUGGGUGCCAGGCUGACAAGGGGUGGACUUGUGACGGCUAAUUUUAUAUGUCACCUUGGCUGGGCCGUGGUGCUCAGAUAUUUGGUCAACCAUUAUUCUGGAUGUUUCUGUGAGGGUGUUUUUAGAUAAGAUUGACAUUUAAAUUGGUGGACUUUGAGUAAAGCAGAUUGCUCUCCUUAAUGUGGCUGGGCCUCAUUCAGUCAGUUGAAGGCCUAAAGGGAACAAAAGACUGACCUCCCCUGAGCAGGAAUUCUGCCAGGAGACGGCAUUUGGACUUGAACUACAACAUUGGCUCUUCCCUGGGUUUCCAGGCCCUUGUAACUGAGUUUAGUUAUAGGUCUAGAAGCAAAGACGGGUGGUGGAGGUGGGCCCUGAGGAGAACCAGCAGUGUCUUGCGAGGCAGCUGCCUUGGGGAGGCCAUUACAGUUCCCUCGGAUAACUCAGGGUUAAUCUCCUGAGUCCCUCGUGAGUAGGCACUGUAGUUGUCUCUCCCUAGGGGUCUAACUGCCAAUAGUACGUGCUCAAUAAAUGUUGAGUUGAAGAAAGAGCAAGGGAAGAAAAAGAUUAUUUAAAAAAGUAAAAUACUAGAAAUUUCCUAAUUAGUGGUUGUCCUUUCAUCCCAGCACAGUCGGCUAGGAAAGAGGGACAAUCAGUUCUUGCUUGCUAGAAUCCGUAUGAAACAACCCAGCAGACUCCUUCCCGGGGACACUGACUGAAAUCGCCAGGGGAGGCUGGGUGGCAAAGACAAGGCCAAGUUGAUCUACGCUAUGCUUCUGCCUCCGGUGUGUCUUCGCACAUACCCGUCAGCGGCCAAGGAGGGGAUUGGGCUGCGGUUUGUCAGCUCCAAAGCUGGUGCUCGUCAUCUCUAUGCUGAACCAUCAGCCUCGUUUACUGCUGACCUGUCCCCACGAAGGGGGCUGGCUGCACUUUAAUCCAACUGUUACCGUGGAUGAGUCCCUGGAGCAGAGGAGAAUGCAAGUUUCACAUACUCCCUCCAUGGUGGGGGCAAAUCACGUCUGCCCUCUGGGCCCUCAGCUUCUCACCUGUAAAAUAAGAGGGUUGGGCUGGCUCAGUGGUUCCCAGACCCAGCUGGGCAUUGGAACGGGGAGGGAUGAUUCACACACACGCACAGACACACAUUCCCACACCUCGCUGCAGACCAUCGGAUCAGCCCCAGGUGAAGGGAACAAGCAGAAGCUGUGUGUUUAACAAGGUUCCCAGGCGAUUCUGAUGCAAUCCACUUGGGUGGUCUCUGGACGCGAUGGCCUCUAAGCCCCCUUUUCCCUGUGUUUUUGCUCUCAAGCAGCUGACAGAUUUGCAGCAGUAACCAUAUUCCACCAACAGAAUGUCAGUGUACGGAGACUGAAAAACUUUUUUUUCUGAUUUAUGAAACAAUUUGCAUGAAAAGUCCUGCCAAGGUAUAAAUUAAAAGAUAGAUAUAAAAUAUCUUUUUUUAAAAAAGUUUAAAAACAGAAGUAAAAAGUACAAGUUAUAGUUAGUUCUUAAUUUAGUAUUUGAAUAUUUGAAAUCAGAAUUGGCCUAUAGAUUCAUUGCAGGUAGAAGACAACUGUAUAGAUAGUUCAAUACACAGGAACAGAAGGAGUUUCUUAUAAGAGCUAAGUGAGGUCUCUUGACUCUGGUGAACCACCCCCCACCCCCUACAAGGAACCCAGGCCAUCGUGGAGUGGGUCACACUGACCCAUGUCUUGUUGCCUCAUACUUCCCGUUUCCCAGAGCUGUUGCUGAUAAAACUGAAGCUGGGCUAUUUCUCACUGGACCUGAGCCCUGAUCGGAUUGCAUAUUUUUUUCUUUAUGUUGCUAGAGAAUGUGUGCGAGAUAUCAAAAUUGCUUUCAGGCUUGUACUGGUGAAGCUCCAACAUGAACAAUGGUCUCAACCUCUUUCCCCCUUACUCUUUCUUCUUUAUUUCAAGAACAUCCAAAUUUGAAAGUUUUAUGGGGAGAAUAAAUGAGUGUCCCUACUCCUACUCCUUUCCCCAAGCCCAUGCCUAGAAAUAAAUCCCCCAUGUGUGGGUAAUGGCAUCAAACCAUUGGACUGCAUUGGAAGGGCUGGAAAAUCUUGACUGGCUAAUGAGUUGCUCUCAACAUAUCUGGCUAUAAAAUCAGAAACUCAGAUGAACCCAAGGGAAUUGCUGUAGAAAGGAGAUUUUACAAAAUACAGUGAUGUAAAUCUGCAAUUGUUAUGUUUACUUGUUCACGGCUGUUUACACUGGAUUGUGACUCCUUGAGCCAGGCAUUGUGGGUCUUUUUGUCACUGUAUCUCCAGGCUCUGAAUGGGGGUCAGGCUCAUAGUAACAGUGAUGACCAGCACGUAUUCAGUGUUUAACCAGGUGCCAGGCACUGUGGUAAGUACUUACAUAUUGUACUGCACCCUCUAGUUCCCCCACCAACUCGCUGAAGUGGGUAUUGUUAUUAUUAUCUCUUUACAGACAGCAGAGAGAGAUGAAGUAAGUUGUAAGUAGAGCCAGGAUGCAAAUGCAGGAGGAGGAUGGGGACACAAGGAGAGGGAAGACUGCCAUGCGAAGACAGAAGCAGAGAGUGGAAUUAUGCUGCCACAAGCCAAGGAAUGCCUGGGGUCCUUUGGGAAGCUGGGAGAGGCAAGAAGGAUCCACCCCUAGAGACUUUGGGGAGAGCAUGUCCUUGCUGACACCUUGACUUCAGACUUCUAGCCUCCAGAACUGUGAGAGAAUACAUUUCCGUUGUUGUAAACCACUGAAUUUGUGGUACUUCUUUACAGCAGUCCUAGGAAACUGAUACAGGACCUAAUAUUAUUUCUCAUUUCCGUGUCAUCACAAUUCCUGAUGAUAAUUUCACAUCUCACUCCCUGUGAUCCUCCCCCCAUCUGCCCCAAGGAUGUGCACGAAGCUCAGAAGAAGUGCCUUAUCUGUUCACACCAUCCUGACCUGGAGAGUUGUGGUAAUUUAGUUUGAAAUCCUUGAAGGGACUUCUUUGUGUUCAAAUGCUGGCUCUUUGUGAGUUUGCUCAUUAAAUAUCAGAAACGGGAAAAUAUGAAUAGUGGCAUUUAUAGAAAAAUUCCUGUGUGCAGGCUUUACAAGGAUCUUCUCUCACCCUCACCACCAUCCUGUGAGUUAGUUAACAUGAAUUCAAACGUCAGAGAAAUCCACAGGGGAGAGAGGGACCAACCCAGGGGGCAGCCGAUGUUCUGACUGACUCUCAAGCCAGGGUCCACACCAAGCUGCUGCUUUGGGGAAUAGAGAGAGGGGAGAGAAUGUGCAUGGCACAGAGGAGGAAACGUGGUGGCUCUGCCACUGAUGUGUGCAGUAUCCAGCUUAUCCUGGUCAUAAGACCAGAUUGUUAAAUUUUCAGGAUUUUUGCAGGCAGGUUGAUGUCAUUUUGGUAGCUUGAAACUGGCCACCGUGGGAGUAUUUACACUGCAGAAAUUGGCAAGUUUUACAAAUCAGAGCUUUAACAUCCCUCACCUUCGGGUUUACUGGAACAAGACUAGAGUGAGAGAGGGAAAGCUAAGAGAAGGCACCGCUGAGGCCCUCAGCCUGAGGUUGGCUAUGAAGGGCUGGUGUGGUCCUGGCAGUUCUGAAGUAUUGGGGCAGCUAAGGAUGACAUCAUACAUACCCAAAGCCACCAAUGCUAUUUAGCUUAGGAGGGGCCAGACCCUCCUGGGAGGUUGGGAGCAUCCACUGAGGACCUCCUCAGUGAGUGGAGAAAUAAAGUUGUCAAAGCUGCCUGUCCGUCACCCCCAAACUACAGCCACAUGACCGGGGAAAAAGGGCCAAUGUCUGAACUAGUUAACGGAACACUCUGGGCCUCAGUUCUUAAUCUGUAAAACAAGAGGGGUAACAGUCAAUGAUUCCCAAGUCUGCCCCAUCAUAAAUUACCCGUGGGACUUUAAAAACUCCCUGUGCUCACCUCAAAUCUGUGCUGGUUACCACUUCUUGAGAUAGCCACCUGGCUCAUGGCCCCCCUUCUCGGCAUCUGGACCCUCAGCAGCCAUGUCUGUCUAAGUGGCCCUGCCCUGUCACAGCUAAUUGGUCCGGCUGUGGCCAGGACACUAGCCCGUCCUGGGGACUCUGUCUCCCACAAAUUUGAAAUUUUGCACUAAAAUUCACUGAUAUCAGACACUACUGGUAACAAUUUGGAUCACUGGCAGCACCCUAGAGCUGUGUUGCCCAAGGCGGUAGCCAUGUGUGGCUAUUGAGCACUUGAAAUGUGGCCAGUGCAAUUGAGAUGGGCUUUGAGUGUAAAUACUCCCUGGAUUUCAAAGACUUGAUAUGAAAAAAAGGAUUUAAAAUAUCUCAAAAAUUCUUUGAUUAUAUGUUGAAAUGAUAAUAUUUUGGAUUUAUCAAGUUAAAUAAAAUAUA